UUAGAAAAUGCACAAGUUUUCUUACCACACCUAUAAAUAGGUGAUGGUGUAAGCCUUGAGGAUGUAUGAAAAAAAAAUCACAAGUUAAUGAAAAAGUCUACCAUUUCCCACAAACAAUCUCUUCCUUUACCAUCAAACAACAACACUCUUUGAUCAAAAACAUCUCUUAAGCAUAAAAGUUCACUACUACUUCCAGUGGCGGAUCUAGGAAUUGAACCACGUGGGUUCGGAAUAAUUUUAAUAUUUUUUUUUUAUUUUUUUGUUUUUGAAUUUUUUAUAGCAUUGAAGGACGAGGAAAAAAAAUAAACUUUCAACAAUUGUACUUAGCAAGGCUUUAUUCUUGAUUACAUCAUCACAAAAAAAAUAUGAUAAUUAAUUUCUUGUAGUAAUGAAAGACUAUCAAUUUUUUAACAAGCUAUAGAGUUAUAAAAACUACAAAUCGAGUAUUAACUAUUAAGACUUUUUUCAUUGAAUUAACUUAUCAUGUUAUACACUUAUAUGUAUAACAAAAUAUGAAACUUUAACAACUAGCUAGCACAAACAUGACGUAGACAAAAAAAAUAAUGUAAAUUAACCAAAUUCAUUAGUUUUUACAAUAUUUGUACUUGCUGGGCGGGAGAAAUUUAUAGAUAAAAAAAAAGAGUUUAAAAAAUUAAAGGAGCAUGAAGAAAAAGGAAAAAAAAAACAAGGAUAUAAUGCAAUAAGCCAAGAAGGGGAUGAAAAAAAACCAAAGAAAUAAUGCAGUAAGUCUAAAGGGAAUAAGUAAGUCUAAAGAGAAUAAGGAAGGAUCAAAAAAGGGGAAAAAAAAACAAAUAAUGCAGUAAGCCUAAAGGGAGUAAGUACUAAGGGAGGAUAGAAAAAGAAAAAAAAAACAAAACAAACCACUUUACUGAGAUUCGAACCUCAAACCAGGAGAACAAAUAAGAUUGUACUUCACUACCUUUACCGCUGAGCCACCGGGCAUUUAAGCGAUAUAAAUUCGCUGUGUUUUAUAUAUAUAUUAUCGUUUUCUUUGCCCAGUUUUCGUGUUUUUGUCCCGGAUCCACGUGGGUUCAGUUGAACCCACUGAACCCACGCUGGAUCCGCCCCUGACUACUUCCGCUCAAGUUUCCUACAUUUGGUAUCAAGAGCCACUAUAAUCCAAAGCCUUCAAUAAUUAAACACAUUCAUCCCUCAACUUCAAACCCCACAUAUUCAACUUUUUUAAAAAAACAAAAUCAAACCACAUAAAUUAAAAUGACUUCCUCAAACACAUUUAACUACCCCUAGGUAAAUUGGAUACCCACAUUUAAAGGUGAAAAAUAUCAACAAUGGUCUAUCUAAAUGAAAUCCAUAUUUAUCUCACAAGAUUUAUGGGAAUUACUGCAAAAUGGUUAUGAACAACCAAAUGAUUUGAUCCAAGAAGCUACUUGAGAUGAAGCACGCCACAAGCAAUAUAAACAAAAUCGGAUAAGGGAUAAUUAUGCCCUAUCCUUGAUCUAUCGGGGAAUAGACGAAACUAUUCUCCCUACCAUCAUGGCUGCUACAACGGACAAGGAGGCUUGGAGUAUCCUGGAGACAAAAUAUAGGGGGUCCGAGAAGGUUACUUUGAUGCAAAUUGAUUAUGAUUACCUAAUAUCAAGCCUAUUAAUCAUUGAAGAUGAAGAUAUCUUGCACAAGGAUCACAAUGCAUCAUUUCGGGACAAUUUCGAGUUAGAAUGAAGCAAAGAGUUGGUGAAAGAAGUGUCAAAACUGACACUUGUUCACUAUUUUGGCCAUAACUUUUGAUAUACAAUUGAUAAUUAAGAAAUUCCAGUUGGAUUGGAAACUAGACUUCAAGGGCUUUCCAAUGAUAGGUCAUACAUCCCAAUAUGACAUCUGGUUUGAGAGAUACAGCCUUCACAAGUUGAUGCAAAAUCACUGUUUCUCCGCCCGGUCGACCGGGCGGUUUUACCCGACCGGGCGAAAUUAAUUUUUCACCAAAAUGCAAGGAAUGUUAGCCCGGUCAACCGGGCGAGAAAAGAUCCAAAAUCGCUUGCGCGCCCGACCGGGCGGGUUCGCCCGGUAGACCGGGCGGAUUUGCUUUUUUGCCGUAGAAGUUGAAUGACCGUCGCCCGACCGGGCGGUUUCUCGGGACGCGUUUUUUCGGGUUUUUUAGCCGGUUUUGUAAGAAGUAUAAAUAGGUUUUUUUAUAUUUCCGAAAGGACCAUCUCAUUUUCUACGUUUUUAGGGCCAAACACUUAGUUUAUUCUCUGAUCUCUACUUUUGUUGAACUUUUACAUUGGAAGAUUAUAAAGAUCGUCGAUUUCCUUUUUCA